rnacentral:rRNA from 1 species
UGGGGAAUUUUGGACAAUGGGCGAAAGCCUGAUCCAGCAAUGCCGCGUGUGUGAAGAAGGCCUUCGGGUUGUAAAGCACUUUUGUCCGGAAAGAAAUCCUUGGCUCUAAUACAGUCGGGGGAUGACGGUACCCGGAAGAAUAAGCACCGGCUAACUACGUGCCAGCAGCCGCGGUAAUACGUAGGGUGCAAGCGUUAAUCGGAAUUACUGGGCGUAAAGCGUGCGCAGGCGGUUUGCUAAGACCGAUGUGAAAUCCCCGGGCUCAACCUGGGAACUGCAUUGGCUGACUGGCAGGCUAGAGUAUGGCAGAGGGGGGUAGAAUUCCACGUGUAGCAGUGAAAUGCGUAGAGAUGUGGAGGAAUACCGAUGGCGAAGGCAGCCCCCUGGGCCAAUACUGACGCUCAUGCACGAAAGCGUGGGGAGCAAACAGGAUUAGAUACCCUGGUAGUCCACGCCCUAAACGAUGUCAACUAGUUG